GGAGGAAUACCCAAGAGGCUGAAGGGGCUGGCUUGGAAAGCUAGUAGGACGUUAACGCGUCGCGAGGGUUCGAAUCCCUUUUCCUCCGCCA
rnacentral:tRNA from 1 species